UCUGGCGGCAAUAGCGCGGUGGUCCCACCUGACCCCAUGCCGAACUCAGCAGUGAAACGCCGUAGCGCCGAUGGUAGUGUGGGGUCUCCCCAUGU
rnacentral:rRNA from 1 species